CUUUUCUCGUUAGUUUUUGAAGUAUGGCCUGCCCGCUGACUUUGGUGUUGAAGGGCCGCGGUAUUUUGACCGUGCAAAGGUAGCAUAGUCAUUAGUUCUUUAAUUGUGAUCUGGUAUGAAUGGCUUGACGAGGCAUGGGCUGUCUUAAUUUUGAAUUGUUUAUUGAAUUUGGUCUUUGAGUUAAAAUUCUUAGAUGUUUUUAUGGGACGAGAAGACCCUAUAGAGUUUAACAUUUGUUAUGGUCCCCUUUCUGUUUGUGAGGGUUCAUUGGGCCGUUUAAUAUGUUUUGUUGGGGUGAUGGGAGGGAUUAAUUUAACCCCUCCUUUUUAUUAUUAUAUUUAUUUAUAUUUACUUGAUCC
rnacentral:rRNA from 1 species